CUACAUUGUUACAUAAGGAUUUCCAUGAUCCAGGGGAGACUGAGGAAUAAGAAAUAAUUAUUAUUCUUAUAUUUUAUUAUGUCUUAUUGUUGUUGCAUUAUUGAGAGGGAACCUGCAAGUAAGAUCUGUAUAUUCGUUGGAAGGUGUAUAGGCCCUACCAUGUGUAUCCUGUACAUAUGACUAUUCAAACUUGAAAUAUGACAGAGACACACAAAGAGAAAGAAUGAGAGAGAGAGAGAGAUAGACAGACAGAGCAAUAGAGCGAGAAGAGAGAUGCAAUGAAAAUGUUUUUGGAUAUAUAUUAGAUAUUAGACGUCUCUGCAUUUUCCACAAAACCCUGUCAGCGUUUCUGACCAAAGUGGAACAUUUUGGCUGCGUUGUCUUACUAUCUAUCUGUUCUGAGUUUUCCUUCCUCUCUUUCUUUCACAACAGAGACAAGUACCGACAAGCUGAGUAGCAAACACACUUCUCGUCAUUACAUCUGAAACUAUAGCUUAUUUUUUAUUUCCCUGUUUUCUUGAGGAGCUGAGAGCGGAUGCACGGCACAGCGAUCAACACGGCGCUCUAAAGCAGUGGGAGUAAGAACAAUUGAGAUACACAUAGAACAAGACCUGGGAUCCAACUUGAGAGAGGGGAAAUGCUACAGCAACACUUUCAGGUGUACCAUUGAGAACAUGCCAUGCAUGUUACCUCAGAAAGCAAGCUCACAGAUGUGUUAUAAAUCAUUCUGUAAAAUCCCACAUGGAAAAAUUCUCACAGGAAAAAGGCAGCACAAGCAUGAACCGAAAAUCUAAAUAAAAUGAGACUUUCAUGGAAUAGACAAUGAGACAACAAUUGAAACUGUUGGACAUUUUUUUUUUGUGUCCCUCAUAUUUUUGUUCAAACAAAACACAAAAAAACUAAGACGAAGGACAUCAUAAAAUCAUAAAAAAUACAAAAAGGAAAAUCAACACGACUUUGAAAAAGGAUGAUGAGAGAAGAGUGUGAGACACUUGGACGGCAGCAACAGCAGAGGAUUGCACAUGUCAAUGAUCCGUUCUACACCUCCCUACCGCCCCCUGCCCGACCCCUCCGAAAACGAAGGGGGAAAAAUCUGAGCGCUUGCGUCAUCCAUUAGAUGGGAAAGGAGGGGAGAAAUUAAGGGAGGGAGCCUAAGGGGUUUAACAGUGUGCCAAACAUCAGUGACAUUUCUUGUCUAUAAAAAGAACAGAACGGUGCAGAAAUAUUCUUCUUUUUUUCAAAUCAUCAAACAGGUGAAAGAGGAUCCUUUUUUCACCGCGAAUAAAAUCAAGAAUUUUUUGUUGUUUUUUUGUUCAUUUAAAAAUGUCUCAGUCCCAGUCUGUUUUCACGCCCUUGUUCUCUCAUUUAAAGUGUCUGUGUGAAAAUAUA